GACGAACGCUGGCGGCGUGCUUAACACAUGCAAGUCGAACGCUGAAGCACCAGCUUGCUGGUGUGGAUGAGUGGCGAACGGGUGAGUAAUACGUGAGUAACCUGCCCUUGACUCUGGGAUAAGCCCGGGAAACUGGGUCUAAUACUGGAUGCUACAUGUCACCGCAUGGUGGUGUGUGGAAAGGGUUUACUGGUCUUGGAUGGGCUCACGGCCUAUCAGCUUGUUGGUGAGGUAAUGGCUCACCAAGGCGACGACGGGUAGCCGGCCUGAGAGGGUGACCGGCCACACUGGGACUGAGACACGGCCCAGACUCCUACGGGAGGCAGCAGUGGGGAAUAUUGCACAAUGGGCGAAAGCCUGAUGCAGCGACGCCGCGUGAGGGAUGACGGCCUUCGGGUUGUAAACCUCUUUCAGCAGGGAAGAAGCCACAAGUGACGGUACCUGCAGAAGAAGCGCCGGCGAACUACGUGC
rnacentral:rRNA from 1 species